GAUGAAGAACGCAGCGAAAUGCGAUAAGUAAUGUGAAUUGCAGAAUUCAGUGAAUCAUCGAAUCUUUGAACGCACCUUGCGCCCUUUGGCUAUUCCGAAGGGCAUGCCUGUUUGAGUAUCAUGAACACCUCAACUCUCAUGGUUUGCCAUGAUGAGCUUGGACUUUGGGGGUAUUGCCGGCCUAUGGGUCGGCUCCUCUCAAAUUAAUCAGCUUGCCAGUGUUUGGUGGCAUCACAGGUGUGAUAACUAUCUACGCUUGUGGUUUUCCAUCAGGUAACCUUCAGUGAUGGAGGUUCGCUGGGGCUCAUAAAUGUCUCUCCUCAGUGAGGACAGCUUUUUUGAACGUUUGAUCUCAAAUCAGGUAGGACUACCCGCUGAACUUAAGCAUAUCAAUAAGCGGAGGA
rnacentral:misc_RNA from 1 species